AGAUCUUCUGGCUAUAGUUU
rnacentral:miRNA from 1 species